GGACGAUUAGCUCAGCUGGUUAGAGCGUACGGUUCACAUCCGUAAGGUCGUAGGUUCGAGUCCUACAUCGUCCA
rnacentral:tRNA from 1 species